UGUUCAUUCCAAAAUGACGGACCCGACAGCAUCGCCGGAGGAUCACUGGAACAAAAACGAUGGGGCUUUUAGUGACAAUGGAUUUGACCCCAGUUUCUUUGCUGAGAAUGUCAGAAAGGGUACCGUGGUCUCCAGGGCCAACAGCAUUGGAUCCACAAGUGCCUCAUCAGUACCAAAUACAGAUGACGAAGACAGCGACUACAAGGAGUCCUACAAAGACCGGCGGAGACAGGCGCACACACAGGCAGAGCAGAAGCGACGGGACGCUAUCAAGAAAGGCUAUGAUGACCUGCAGGCCAUAGUUCCCACCUGCCAGCAGCAGUCUGAGUUUGCUGUGGGCACACAGAAGAUCAGCAAGGCCACAGUGCUGCAGAAAACCAUCGACUACAUCCAGUUUCUGCAUAAGGAGAAGAAGAAGCAGGAGGAGGAAGUGUCCAUGCUGAGGAAGGAAGUAAUGGCGCUGAAGAUCAUGAAAACGAACUAUGAGCACAUCGUGAAGGCCCAUCAGAACAACCCUCAGCAGGGGGACGAACAGGUGUCGGACCAGGUCAAGUUCAGUGUGUUUCAGAACAUCAUGGACUCCCUGUUCCAGUCGUUCAGCAGCUCUGUGUCUGUGGCCAGCUUCCAGGAGCUCUCCGCCUGCGUCUUCAGCUGGAUCGAGGAGUACUGCAAGCCGCAGACUCUACGUGAGUUUGUGGUGGGCGUUCUGCGGCAGCUGAACAGCCAGCUAUAUUAAUCGUGGCUAGGUGUUAACUCUGGACUGGACUCUCCCCUCAGGGACGGCGCCAGGAUCCACUCCAGGUUCUCAGGGUCUGGAGAUCUUGCACCAAAUGUAUCAGGACCAUUUGGGCCACAUUCGGGUGCAGAAUGUUGCUGAACCCUUGGGAUUGAAACUCGAUGAAGCCAACAGAUUUUGUUCCUAAUUCUACAUGUAAGAGUUUUUUUCUUAUACCCAUCUGAAUGUUCCAAAAUCGUACAGGUUGAAGCUCUGGGCCUGGUUUCCCAAAGGCAUCUUAGGCCAAAUUCAUUGUUGGGACCUUUUGUAAGAGGUUCAAUCUCCAAGUGGUUUCCCAAAGCCAUUGUUAUGGAAGUUGCACUUAAAGGCUUGUUAUAUUAUGACCAAGACCACUCAUUAGUUUUGCAGUUAUGUGCAAAACCGAGUACACCGCCUGGAAACAUUUCUUUUGGUUACAUAUUUGGAAACAUUAGCUAAAUUCCCACCACAUUCAUUGCUAAAUUGAUGAUUCACUGAUGAAUGUAAUUUUCUGGAGGUGUCUGUUUUCCACAGGUACUUUUUCUCUUCAAUAUUACUUUAUGCAAAAUCUCUGUAAAACAUUGAAUUAAUAGGUAUAGGUGUUUGUUCAUUUUCUGACUACAAAUAAAUGUUUACAGUUCUUACAAACUACGGUAGGAUAUAAAAUGUUUCCAGUUAAGAUAAAAUGGCAUUAAGACCGCAGUAUGGUGCCUUUGGAAAGUAUUUUGGGAAUUAUGUUCCCCCAGCAUCCAAGUGCAAUUUACAGUACAGUACAAAAUAAGCGUAAUAUGAGAACAUAUAGUUACCAUAGCAGCAGAGAAUCCUAAAAGUGACACAAGAUGCAUUGGAGUUCAAUUUGGAGUUUCAUUACAAAUGCUCUGAAAGGGCUACUUAUGUAGUAAAAUUGGCACAUUUCUAAAAUUGUUUUCGCUUUGCCAUUAUGGGGUAGUUAAUGGAAUUAAUGGAAAGAAAAUAUUUAAAUCCAAGUCAAUGAAACAGAAUUUGUGAAAGGGUCUUGAGUAUACCUUUUAGUGAACUGUAGGUUAUCUCACUGGCCUCUUGUGGUGUGUAGGGUUUGUUAUUAGUAUAAUUAAAGGGUAAGCCUUUUAAGCCAUCAGUCAGUAUUUAGAUAGGUGACAAUGUUUUUAGCUGUCAUCAGAUUGUGAAAUAAUUAUUUUGUUGUAAGAUUUGAAUGGAGAAAUCUGAUCCAAGGGCAGUGCUCCCUUUCUUUUGAUCAUGAGUGCGUCGACAUAGUCUAACGACAUGCACUCUGUCCAGAGGCUUUGGGAAACAUUUUCUGUCUGUUGCAGGAAAGGUGCAUUGUUAAAACACUCAUAAGCCUUAAGCUCUAUUGAUGCUGAGAAACCAGGCCAUUUUCAACUUAACAGUCCAAUCUGUUUGUCAAUCGUAUAAAAGUAUCCCUUUUUGACAAGAAGCCAUUGUGGGGUGACGUCUUUGUGCUGGGGUGAAUCAAUCAGGUUUACUGUUACAGUGUUUUGUUCUGUUGAUAUGGACAGAAUUUGAUUAAAGUAUUUUUGUAUAUGAUUUUGUUAAUGUAAAAUAAAUGUUUAAAGGAUA